rnacentral:misc_RNA from 1 species
AGCAGCCGCGGUAAUUCCAGCUCCAAUAGCGUAUAUUAAAGUUGUUGCAGUUAAAAAGCUCGUAGUUGAAUUUCGGGGUUAGUAGGUUGGUCAUGCCUCUGGUAUGUACUGGUCUCACUGAUUCCUCCUUCCUGAUGAACCUUAAUGCCAUUAAUUUGGUGUUUUGGGGAAUUUGGACUGUUACUUUGAAAAAAUUAGAGUGUUUAAAGCAAGCUAACGCUUGAAUACAUUAGCAUGGAAUAAUGAAAUAGGACGUUCGAUCCUAUUUUGUUGGUUUCUAGGAUUGACGUAAUGAUUAAUAGGGAUAGUUGGGGGCAUUAGUAUUCAAUUGUCAGAGGUGAAAUUCUUGGAUUUAUUGAAGACUAACUACUGCGAAAGCAUUUGCCGAGGAUGUUUUCAUUAAUCAAGAACGAAAGUUAGGGGAUCGAAGACGAUCAGAUACCGUCGUAGUCUUAACCAUAAACUAUGCCGACUAGGGAUCGGAUGAUGUUAAUUUUUUAAUGACUCAUUCGGCGCCUUA